UAUUUACAUUAUGUUAAAUACGUGUUCGUAAAAGAGGAACUUCAUUUUGAAAAUGACUCGGAUCGCCUAUUCUUUAGUGAUCGGUUCACUAGUUUAGGGUAGACUUAUAUGAAUCAAACAAAAGGCUGCUCCUUUAUGACAUAAAAAAAAGGAAUGCCAAAAUGAACAAUGUUCUAGGCCAUGUUUCUCAAACUGUGCUUUCUGGGAUACUAUGCAAUAUUACAAACAAUUAGGCAUGCGUAAUUGGACUGCCGCAUAUUCGUUAAGAUGGUAAUUUUGUGAAACCCAGUCUUAUCCCAUAUCGUUUACGAGGCGAAAGGUGGAUUCUUGGAUGUGGGGUUUUUUUACAUCCGUGCACCUGUAUGUCAACGAUCCAUCGAUUAUUUGGAGGAUUCAUAGAUGCAAUGCUGAACAGUACUGCGACAAGGACCAGUAGUAGCGCCAGUAUAGUAUACUCAUACACGACAGCUGUUUUAACUUGUUAGCAGAUGAUUAUUGGAUUGAUUGAAAGAGACAAGAAAGACAUGAAUAAUUAAUUAGGAAUAAUGAUUCACGGGUGAUUGUAUAUGAGAAAUAGGAAUGGAUUGGCAUCGGAUCAUCUUUGCGUUCCUAAUCACUCUUCUGAUACAUUACAGUAAUCACAUGGUCAGAUGUGACAUAACAGAUGUACAACUUGUUGGAGGUCCAUCAUCUAAUAAAGGUACAGUAGAGAUCAGGCAAGAUGGCGGCGAUUGGGAGACGACAUGUGGAAUGAAUCUUGACAUUAAUGACGUCAUCGUCAUUUGCAGACAAUUAGGAUUCCCGGGAGCUAGUCUAGCAAUGCAGAUCACACCCUUUAUACAGAAUUCUAUACCUGACAUUGGAUUAGAUUGUAACGGAGGUAAUUACAUACCAUUUAAUAAA